ACCUUUCAUUUGCAAUUUGCAAAAUUAAAAUCGAUUAACUACCACGGCGUCAGGAAUUUUUUUAAAUAAACAUUAAUUAUUACAAGAAUCUACAGGUCGAGCAAGUCUCGUAAAUUUCACGAUUGCGAGCCACGCUUCACGCAACCGUGUUUGCGUACUUGUGUUUCGAGUUGCGUGGUCGUGCGGAGUUAUAUUUACCAAAUUUAAAUGUAAUCGUUUCUACUGAUAAUAAUAUACUAUUCUCAAUAUGGCUACUGGGUGUAAAAGAUAAAUCUUAUUCUAUCUGUUCUUCAUGAGUUUUAGAUAAUUUUAGUUGUAUUUCUUUGUAAUUUUGUGUUGUACAAAGAUUAAUUUAACAUUUUCUCUGGAAGUAUUAAUUUAGAAAGAUAAUAUGCUUCAUUGGUGUUGUGUUUUGAAGUGUGAAAUGCAAAGUAAUUGUGAUAAAGUCAAGAUAAAGUUCACUUUUAAACUGAACUAAAUAAGGUAUCUGAGAGACAACAAUGGUUAAAUGCAAUACAAUGUACAGGUUUUACUAGCGAAAUGAAAAUUUUCCUGUCCUGUCUGCUGUAAUCAUUUUAUAUCUGGAAAAUAGGAAAACCAGCCGACUUAAUCGAUAAUAACAAUCUCCAGAUUGGGUUCCUUCAAUAAAUAUGGGCUAUAAACACAAUGAAAUAAGUUCCCCAAAAUCUAAAAUGGAGUGCUAUCAAAGGAGAAUUAAAGGAAAAAAUAUUCAUAUUGAAAUUAUUUAUAAGGCACUGGACUGUCUUAAAUUCUACAAUAAUACUAGAAUCAGCUGAGAGAAGUGGUCUACAAAAAACCAGGAAGGAAACGGAAUAUGUGGCUACGAAAGGCAAAAGAAAGGUUUACAAAGCAAAUGUGACACAUUUUUUUGAAACAUUUAGGAAUAUCAGUAAAUUGCAUUAA